AACUUUCAACAACGGAUCUCUUGGUUCUGGCAUCGAUGAAGAACGCAGCGAAAUGCGAUAAGUAAUGUGAAUUGCAGAAUUCAGUGAAUCAUCGAAUCUUUGAACGCACAUUGCGCCCCCGGGUAUUCCCGGGGGCAUGCCUGUUCGAGCGUC
rnacentral:rRNA from 1 species